rnacentral:misc_RNA from 1 species
UACAUUUUGAUAUUGCAGUUGAUGUUUUUGGAUCAAAUCCAAUAAUCAAAGUAAGCACGGGGACAAAGAUACCCCCUCCCCCGACACCUCCUACACUCCCAAAAGCAGCACCAAAGAAUCCAAUUACUGAACCAACAAUCAGCCUCCACCCAAAUUCCGGUUCAGGCCAAACAUGGUGGUAAUUAAUCUCACUCUUUCUCCAAAGAAUAUUGAACAGAUCAAAUAAGUAACUUGACUCAUAGCUAUGAGUUGUUCCAUUGUUGCUCAAAGUGGUCUCAUAUGGAACUUGCUUCCCAG